GACGAACGCUGGCGGCGUGCUUAACACAUGCAAGUCGAACGGAAAGGCCCUGCUUUUGUGGGGUGCUCGAGUGGCGAACGGGUGAGUAACACGUGAGUAACCUGCCCUUGACUUUGGGAUAACUUCAGGAAACUGGGGCUAAUACCGGAUAGGAGCUCCUGCUGCAUGGUGGGGGUUGGAAAGUUUCGGCGGUUGGGGAUAGACUCGCGGCUUAUCAGCUUGUUGGUGGGGUAGUGGCUUACCAAGGCUUUGACGGGUAGCCGGCCUGGGAGGGUGACCGGCCACCUUGGGACUGCGAUACGGCCCAGACUCCUACGGGAGGCAGCAGUGGGGAAUAUUGCACAAUGGGCGGAAGCCUGAUGCAGCAACGCCGCGUGCGGGAUGACGGCCUUCGGGUUGUAAACCGCUUUCGCCUGUGACGAAGCGUGAGUGACGGUAAUGGGUAAAGAAGCACCGGCUAACUACGUG
rnacentral:rRNA from 1 species